UUUGAUGGCGACCGGCGCACGGGUGAGUAACACGUAUCCAACCUGCCGAUGACUCGGGGAUAGCCUUUCGAAAGAAAGAUUAAUACCCGAUGGCAUAGUUCUUCCGCAUGGUAGAACUGUUAAAGAAUUUCGGUCAUCGAUGGGGAUGCGUUCCAUUAGGUUGUUGGCGGGGUAACGGCCCACCAGCUUCGAUGGAUAGGGGUUCUGAGAGGAAGGUCCCCCACAUUGGAACUGAGACACGGUCCAA
rnacentral:rRNA from 1 species